UCUGGUUGAUCCUGGCGGAGGCCACUGCUAUCGGAGUUCGAUUAAGCCAUGCGAGUCGAGAGGUGUAAGACCUCGGCAUACUGCUCAGUAACACGUGGACAACCUACCCUGAAGAGGGGGAUAACCCCGGGAAACUGGGGAUAAUACCCCAUAGGCUAUGGAUGCUGGAAUGCUCUGUAGUUGAAAGGUCCGCCGCUUCAGGAUGGGUCUGCGGCCGAUUAGGUUGUUGUUGGGGUAACGGCCCAACAAGCCUGUAAUCGGUACGGGUUGUGGGAGCAAGAGCCCGGAGAUGGAUUCUGAGACACGAAUCCAGGCCCUACGGGGCGCAGCAGGCGCGAAAACUUUACAAUGCGAGCAAUCGUGAUAAGGGAACUCCGAGUGCCCGUAAAAUCGGGCUGUCCGCCAGUGUAAAUAACUGGUGAAGAAAGGGCCGGGCAAGACCGGUGCCAGCCGCCGCGGUAAUACCGGCGGCUCGAGUGGUGGCCACUAUUACUGGCUUAAAGCGUUCGUAGCUGGUCUGUUAAGUCUCUGGGGAAAUCUUCCGGCUUAACCGGAAGGCGUCUCAGGGAUACUGGCAGACUAGGGACCGGAAGAGGUGAGAGGUACUCCAGGGGUAGGAGUGGAAUCCUGUAAUCCUUGGGGGACCACCUGUGGCGAAGGCGUCUCACCAGGACGGCUCCGACAGUGAGGAACGAAAGCUGGGGGAGCAAACCGGAUUAGAUACCCGGGUAGUCCCAGCUGUAAACGAUGCGCGUUAGGUGUAUCGGUGACCACGAGUCACCGAGGUGCCGAAGAGAAAUCGUGAAACGCGCCGCCUGGGAAGUACGGUCGCAAGGCUGAGACUUAAAGGAAUUGGCGGGGGAGCACCACAACGGGUGGAGCCUGCGGUUUAAUCGGACUCAACGCCGGGAAACUCACCGGACAAGACAGCUGAAUGAUAGUCGGGCUGAAGACUCUACUUGAUUAGCUGAGAGGAGGUGCAUGGCCGUCGUCAGUUCGUACUGUGAAGCAUCCUGUUAAGUCAGGCAACGAGCGAGACCCA
rnacentral:rRNA from 1 species